rnacentral:rRNA from 1 species
AACGAACGCUGGCGGCAGGCUUAACACAUGCAAGUCGAACGCCCCGCAAGGGGAGUGGCAGACGGGUGAGUAACGCGUGGGAAUCUACCGUACCCUACGGAAUAACGCAUGGAAACGUGUGCUAAUACCGUAUACGCCCUACGGGGGAAAGAUUUAUCGGGGUAUGAUGAGCCCGCGUUGGAUUAGCUAGUUGGUGGGGUAAAGGCCUACCAAGGCGACGAUCCAUAGCUGGUCUGAGAGGAUGAUCAGCCACAUUGGGACUGAGACACGGCCCAAACUCCUACGGGAGGCAGCAGUGGGGAAUAUUGGUCAAUGGACGAGAGUCUGAACCAGCCAAGUCGCGUGAAGGAAGACGGUUCUAUGAAUUGUAAACUUCUUUUGUGCAGGAAUAAAGUGGGUUACGUGUAACCUUUUGUAUGUACUGUACGAAUAAGGAUCGGCUAACUCCGUGCCAGCAGCCGCGGUAAGCUAGUCUACG